CUGGGUUCGAAAUCAAAAUGGAAUGCCACUCCUCGAUCUGUCGAUUCUCAGACUCUCAGUCUCUCUCCGAGUAUCCGGCCAGCUCUCUAGCUCUCCAGCUCGCCGGGCUUUCUGGGUUCGAUUUUAGGUUCGAUUUCUGGGUUCAAGGCUUCAAGGUCGGUGAUUCUUCAACCACGAAGCUUGGUGAUUCACUGAUUCUUCAAGCUCGAUUUCUGGGAAUUCUGGGUUCGAUUUCUGGGCUCAAGGCUUGAAGCUCGGUUCAACCUCGAAGCUUGGUGAUUUUUCAUGCUUGAUUUCUGGGUCCAAACUUCAAACUCGGUGAUUGACUGAUUGUUGAAGCUCGAUUUCUGGGUUUUGGAUUCUGCAAGCUCGGUGAUUUCUGGGUUUUGUGGUUUGAGAAUUUUCUUAAUACACUGCAAAGAUGUCGCCAACUGAUUCUACACGCGAGGAGAAUGUUUACAUGGCCAAGUUGGCGGAGCAAGCUGAGCGUUAUGAGGAGAUGGUUGAGUUUAUGGAGAAGGUCGCAAAGACUGUUGAUGUGAAGGAGCUAACUGUGGAGGAAAGAAACCUCCUCUCUGUUGCUUAUAAGAAUGUGAUUGGAGCUAGGAGAGUCUGUGACAGGUUGUAUACUUCAAGUGUUGUAUACUUGUAUCAGUCAGAUUAAUUAUGCUUCGUGGCUCUGUUAUGGACUUUUUGAGGUUUCAUUGUUUUGGACUUUUG